rnacentral:lncRNA from 1 species
UCUCUAAAUUUUGCCUGGAUCACCCUUUCGGGUUUUCAAUCCACCGAGAUGCUCAUUUUUGCCUAAGCCACCCUUUCGGGUUUUCAACUUAGUGAGUUGUUCUUUUAUUUUUAGGCGAAGUAUUUCUUGACUGCAUAUGCAUUCACAUGACGAGUGAACUCUUCACCAUCCAUAGUUGUAAGAAUCAAUGCACCACCUGAAAAGGCUCUCUUCACAAGAUAUGGGCCUUCAUAAUUAGGAGUC